UUGUUUAUAUGUUGUUUGCAUGACUAGUUAUAUUAAAAACUGUGUAUCAAGAAAUGAACUUAUAUAAUAACACAUUGAUAUUAUCAUAGUCUUAUACCAAUUAUUCUCUCUCAUAAAGCGCUUCUAACAUGACUUUGUGGUUCUAAGAGGCUAAAAAACUCAAUCUUAUUAUUCAAUAAAAGACUUGAUGUUAUAUAUUAUUGUCAAAUUCAAAUGUUAUUUUAUAUUGUCAAUAAUUUUUGAACCAAUAAAUAUGUUGGCCUUCAUGCCAUACAUUUCAUCUCAACAUAGUAUUAAAUAAAAAACUUGAUGGUGUGUAUUAUAUCAAAUUAACCAUACUUCUUAUAUUGGUAAAUUUUUUGAAUUAAUAAAACAUGAUGACCAACUAUUUGUCUUGUAAUCUAAAACAUCAGUCAUGCCCCAGUGUUCAUGGAUUGAAAUCAAGUAGAACUUUGGGUACUCUUAAGCUUUAAUUGGCAGCAUGUAAAUUUUGGCACAUUUUUCAUAUUAUAACAGAUUUCCACCAUUGCAAAAGAUGUAAAAUAUUCUUUACAUUUGUUAAGUGUGCCUUGAAUUCCUUGAUCCACCCCACUUCAUGAUUCAGUUCGACAAAGUUGGAAGAAAAAAAA
rnacentral:lncRNA from 1 species